rnacentral:lncRNA from 1 species
UGGGAAAUAGCUUGAGUUAGAUUAGGGAAAAGGGAGAUUAAUUUUGUAUAUGCAUGUUAGGUGUUUGAAAAAAUGCCUAAGUCAAAAACCGAAUUAAAGUACCCAUUAUUGUGCAUUUUGUUUGUUAAAAUAGAUGAUUAUGGUUAGUGCAAGCCCUAAAAACGUGAUGUUGCUCAAGCAUUUUGGGAGUUUGAACUUUAGAAGCAUAUGAAUAAUUUUUCUUCAUUUUGGACUGUUUUAUUUUAAUUUUGUCACAUUUGUUGUUGCUUUUAUUGAUUUCAGUUCAUAGUUAGGUUGUAAAAAUCACAAGGAGUGUUGUAGUAUAUUUUUUUAUAAUUUUUAGUGAAAGAUAUGGUGAUUUUAAAAAAAUAAAAACUGGUCUGUCUUUUGCUUUUUUGGCCACUUUAGGGUCAAUUUUUGUUAAAACUAAGCCCAAAAAUUAAAUCUAAGCGAAAAAUGGAGUGAGAAGGUGUAUUUUAAGAAAUUUUGGCGACCGGAAAAUUCGCCGAUGGCGGGCCGCCAGCUGAAGAAGCUUUAGCUAGCCGAAGAAGAUGGGAAGGAAACGGCUGGAAGUGGAGGAAGAAGAAAGAAAGAAAAGAGAAGAAGAAAUAGCAAAGAAAGGAAAGAAAAGGAAAAAAUGAAAGUGGGUUGGGCUAAUUUUUUUAGUUGGCUUGUUUCUUAGUUUCGGUUGGGCUAGAAGGUCAGACCCAUGCUUUAUUUUUUGUUAGGUUUGAGUGAUAGAAGACGGGCUGGCCUGUGUGUUCUGGCUUGGACUUUCGGCUGGGUUUAGGUAGUGUUCGACCCAAAGAAAUAAAAUGAUGGCCCAGUGACCUGAUUUGUUAAGGAGUAAGAAAACGUUUUUGCAUAUUAGUUCUUGUACUUUCAAGUAUUUAUACUAUGGCCCAGAACAUCUUAAAUUGCUUUCACUUUGGUCCUUAAAUUAAUUACACUUUGAUCCCUGAAUUUUAUCUUUCAUUUAAUUUUGUCCCCUAAACUUUGGAAAAAUAUAAUUUUUGUCCUCAAAAGUUUUUCAAUUUUUACAAUUCAGUCCCUGG